rnacentral:misc_RNA from 1 species
GAUGAAGAACGUAGCGAAAUGCGAUAACUAGUGUGAAUUGCAGAAUUCAGUGAAUCAUCGAAUCUUUGAACGCACAUUGCGCCCGGUAGUAAUCUGCCGGGCAUGCCUGUCCGAGCGUCAUUUCAACCCUCGAACCACUAUUCGCGUAGCUGGAUCGGUGUUGGGGCACUACGGUGGAAUACCCGUAGGCCCCGAAAUGAAGUGGCGGUCCCGCCGCGGCGCCCCCAUGCGUAGUAACAUCUCGUCUCGCAUCGGGUCCCGGCGGAGGCCUGCCGUCAAGCCUAUUUUCUAAUUACAGAUGGUUUGACCUCGGAUCAGGUAGGGUUACCCGCUGAACUUAAGCAUAUCAAUAAGCGGAGGA